AGCUUUGUGCAGUGGCAGUAUCAUAGCCAAUGAGGUUUAUCUGAAGCACGAUUAUUACUAAUUGAAAACAGAAUGUGCAUCAAUAACAAGUCAGUUAUUCCUCCAGGAAGAUCUCCCAAGGAAUCAAGGGUAGCCUUAUCUUUGAAAUAUCUUGCAAUCAUCUGUGGGGUACAUAAUCUACAGCUGGAGAU
rnacentral:snRNA from 1 species